UACGUAGGGUGCAAGCGUUAAUCGGAAUUACUGGGCGUAAAGCGUGCGCAGGCGGUUGUGCAAGACAGAUGUGAAAUCCCCGGGCUUAACCUGGGAAUUGCAUUUGUGACUGUACGGCUAGAGUGUGUCAGAGGGGGGUAGAAUUCCACGUAUAGCAGUGAAAUGCGUAGAGAUGUGGAGGAAUACCGAUGGCGAAGGCAGCCCCCUGGGAUAACACUGACGCUCAUGCACGAAAGCGUGGGGAGCAAACAGG
rnacentral:rRNA from 1 species